rnacentral:rRNA from 1 species
AUUGAACGCUGGCGGCAGGCCUAACACAUGCAAGUCGAACGAGAGGCGGGCGGGUGAGUGAUGUCUGUGGAACUGCCUGCUGGAGGGGGAUAACUCCUGGAAACGGUAGCUAAUACCUCAUACCAGAAGAUAUGUCCAGAUGGGAUGAGCUGGUUGGUGUGGUAACGGCUCACCACGGCGACGAUCCCUAGCUGGUCUGAGAGGAUGACCAGCCACACUGGAACUGAGACACGGUCCAGACUCCUACGGGAGGCAGCAGUGGGGAAUAUUGCACAAGGGGCGAAAGCCUGAUGCAGCCAUGCCGCGUGUAUGAAGAAGGCCUUCGGGUUGUAAAGCACUUUCAGCGGGGAGGCGUUACCCGCAGAAGAAGCACCGGCUAACUCCGUGCCAGCAGCCGCGGUAAUUC